rnacentral:SRP_RNA from 1 species
GGUCGGGUCCUGUGCGACUGGUUCCCGUGAACCGGGUCAGGGCCGGAAGGCAGCAGCUCUCAGCGGAUUCCCCGGUGUGCCGCAGAUCGCCUGGCCGUC